rnacentral:rRNA from 1 species
GACGAACGCUGGCGGCGUGCUUAACACAUGCAAGUCGAACGGUAAGGCCCUUUCGGGGGUACACGAGUGGCGCACGGGUGAGUAACACGUGGGUGAUCAGCCCUGCACUUUGGGAUAAGCCUGGGAAACUGGGUCUAAUACCGGAUAGGACUACGCGAUGCAUGUCGUGUGGUGGAAAGCUUUUGCGGUGUGGGAUGGGCCCGCGGCCUAUCAGCUUGUUGGUGGGGUGAUGGCCUACCAAGGCGACGACGGGUAGCCGGCCUGAGAGGGUGUCCGGCCACACUGGGACUGAGAUACGGCCCAGACUCCUACGGGAGGCAGCAGUGGGGAAUAUUGCACAAUGGGCGCAAGCCUGAUGCAGCGACGCCGCGUGGGGGAUGACGGCCUUCGGGUUGUAAACCCCUUUCAGCACAGACGAAGCGUAAGUGACGGUAUGUGCAGAAGAAGCACCGGCCAACUACGUG